GACGAACGCUGGCGGCGUGCCUAAUACAUGCAAGUCGAACGCAGUGGGGACGGGUGAGUAACACGUGGGUAACCUCCCAUCAGAGGGGAUAACACUUGGAAACAGGUGCUAAACCGAUACUGAUGGAUGGACCCGCGGGGCAUUAGCUAGUUGGUGAGGUACCGGGUCACCAAGGCCACGAGGCAUAGCUGACCUGAGAGGGUGAUCGGCCACACUGGUACUGAGACACGGCCCAGACGCCUACGGGAGGAAGCAGUGGGGAAUAUUAGGCAAUGGACGAAAGUCUGAUCGAGCCACGCCGCGUGAGUGAAGAAGGUUUUCGGAUCGUAAAACUCUGUUGUUAGGGAAGCGGUAUCUACACAGAAAGCAACGGCUAACUACGUGCCAGCAGCCGCGGUAAUUC
rnacentral:rRNA from 1 species